CCUGAGCCGAAGGCAGAGGCCCAACCCACUGAACCACCCAGGCCCCUGUUACAACAAUCUUAAGUGGAGUAGAUACUUUCUCCUUUGCCAGUGAGUAAACAAACUGAGGCUUAGAGUUCUACAGCUGUUUCUUGUUUUUUAAAGAACCAUAAACAUUUUGUGGGAGUGCUGUUGCAUUUUUCAGUUUCAUUGAGAAAUAAUUGAGUUACAUUUAGCCCAGGCGUUCUCCACUAGGGUGGAGUGCGCUGAUGGGUGCUGCUGAGUAUCCUGCAAUGCAUGACAGCCCCCACCACAAAGAACUAUCUGCCCAGAAUGUCAGAGCUGAGGCCGAAACUUUGUAUUAGAUGAACUUGAGAGCCCUGGGCUCCAUUCCCAGCCUGUUAACAAAUAACCCCACCGGAGCCUUAUUUCCUUGUAAAAUAGGGUUAUUGUUUUCCAGAUCUGGCUAUACAUCUAAGGGUGGAGAAGUACACCUCCAGCCAUGGUUGAGAAUGACCCUGGAGUGAGGCCCAAGAUUUGUGUGGCUGCCCCAAGAGCAGUCAUACAGGAACAAUUAGAUGAUCUGAUCCACUUUUAGCUCGGGGACUUUUUAUUACAGCAAGAUUACAGCACUGGCUAUUUAUAAGUAGCUCUUGGGGCAGAUCUAUAAUCCUCUACUUAAAAAAAACUGAUCUAGCUCUGUGGAUCAUGUUUAUGCAGAGGAGAAGGAAGGAGGAGAUGACCUUGAGUGGCGGUGCCUCCUGGCAGCAGGUUCCUUUGUACAGCUGGCCUUCAGAGAAGUCCCAAAGAAGUACAGUCCCAGCCUUGGUUUCCGAGGCUGGAAAGGAUCCUACAGAGGCAGAUGGCCCAGUCCACUGCCCUGGGCCUGAAGCGGAGACUUUUGUAUGUAAGUAGAGCCCUUCCAAAUAGACUUGGGUGGGAGGUUUGUUUGCUGCUCCUGCCCCGGGUUUAGGAUUGUGCUGGGGGCAGGGAGAUUUUAACAUGGGUUUGUUCUUUGGCUGGAUGUCUGCAGUGUGUGAAACAGAGCGGAGCUGCUUUGCCUGAAGUGAAAGGACCCCUCCCCUGUUGCUUGUAGUCUCUCUUUCCAUCUUCCGUGUCCCUAGGAAGCCCCACGAGCCUGUGAUGGUGAGUUAUCCCUGUCCGAACAUCUGGGCUGAGGGGAAACCGUCUAUUCUGAGGCAUCGGGGUUUGGCUCUUUGCUCUUAAAGGUUUAGGCUUCAUCAGGAAUCAGCCUGAAUGGACUCCAGAGGAAAUUGUUACCUCGCCGAGACCCCAGUGGCGUGCGUCAUCCCUCUGCAACUUGAAAACCAGUAGUGUGGCUGCCCUGUCACGCUCUGGGCCCUUGAUCAGUGGUCCUCAGGGUACAGGCUCUGAGAAGGGGCAGACAUGGGCAAGUAGCCCAGUUUCGGGUCAUGUUCUUAUUGUGGAAUCAAAGAGUGCUUGUCCCAUAUUUCAAGGAAAUGAAUGCACUCUUUGAAACUGACGGGAAUGUCGGAAGUCUGCCAGCUGUGGCAGGACUGGGACCUCCCUCAGCACCACAUUGUGACAUUCGGGAAAGAAGGGCUGCCGUGGCGCCAGAAGAGCUGUUUGGUUUCCAGGUGCUUCGUUCACACCACCAGGGAGCUCUCCUAGGGUUAGCUCAGAUCGUUUCUGGACAGCGUAGUGGGCAUGACGCUGCUCCUGGCGUGGCCUAGGGCUGCGUGGGCUGGCGUGUGACCCAAAAGUAGCCCAGUGUACUGGGCGGGGUGGUGGUCUGGCUUUGUUCCCACUUAAAUGCCAGGCUUGGAGUGGGCAGAUGGCCUUUGUUGUUGUUGAAAUUGGGAGGUAUGUAUGGGCUUUUGUUAUUUAAGGUCACAUAAUUGUUCAGUCACCAAGGAAGCUAGAUUUGGGGUGGGAUUUAAUAAGCCUGAAGACUGGCCCCAGCAGUUUACAGCCUGUAAGUAAAAAACAGUAAAAGGAAGCGGUAGGGAGUCGGGAAGUCAGCUUCUUGCAUUAUCGUUGAUGCAGAGUCCGUCAGAACUGCUCUGUGGGACUCCUGUAGAUCUUCAGGUUUGACUUGAAAGGUUUUACCUCCAGAAAAGGGUUGAAUGAGACGGUCUCCGGUGCUUCUUGGUGGUUCUCCCCUCGCCGGGCCUGCUCCCUUCGCGCCUCAGCUGGUGAGGGCAGCCUGCUCCGAAGCGGUCUGUGCCCGAUGUUCGGUUGGAAUGAGCGCUGCUACGAUUGCCUUUUCUUCUCUAGAUCUGGCUUUCAGUUUUGAGGCCCGUACUUGACUGGCCCGUCACACGACUCUCCUUUGGUCUUGCAGGUUCUCCUCCGCGACGCCAGGUGGAGCUGCACUGCGUCUGUUGCGAACUGUUCAUGCCCAUAAACUGAGGCCCCAGAGGGAGAACAAUUGGAAGGAUUCUUUGGAUUUUCUCUUCAAAAAGGAACCAAAUAAUUUGAGUGACAGUUUACCCCGAAAAAUAUCUGGCGGUUAGUCAAAUCAGGGCAUAACUAGGAACAUGCAGAACGCCGCAGUUGAGCCGAUCUGGGUGUGAGCGGCGCACUGGCAGGAAGGCGGGGAUUGUGAACGGAGAAUGACGUGUACGCGCUGUGUUUUGGAGAGUCUGAGGGGAAGCAGGUGUUUGGCCUAGAAAGAGGUUUCUCAGAGUGGAUUUCCUGUGAAGUUAAUGUAUCUUGGGCUUAAGAUUUGAAGCAUAAAUAAAAGUUUUUGAAAAUGUG